rnacentral:rRNA from 1 species
GUGGGGAAUCUUCCGCAAUGGACGAAAGUCUGACGGAGCAACGCCGCGUGAGUGAAGAAGGUUUUCGGAUCGUAAAGCUCUUUCGUUAGGGACGAACGUGCUCUUUGUGAAUAAUGAGGAGUAAUGACGGUACCUAAAUAAGAAGCCACGGCUAACUACGUGCCAGCAGCCGCGGUAAUACGUAGGUGGCAAGCGUUGUCCGGAAUUAUUGGGCGUAAAGCGCGCGCAGGCGGGUUAUCAAGUCUGUCGUAAAAGUGCGAGGCUCAACCUCGUGAGGGGACAGAAACUGGUAUUCUUGAGUGUCGGAGAGGAAAGUGGAAUUCCAAGUGUAGCGGUGAAAUGCGUAGAGAUUUGGAAGAACACCAGUGGCGAAGGCGACUUUCUGGACGAUGUCUGACGCUGAGGCGCGAAAGCUAGGGGAGCGAACGGGAUUAGAAACCCUAGUAGUCC